rnacentral:lncRNA from 1 species
UUACUUCAAAACAUAAUGCCUUCAAACAACAGCACAUUUGGUUGUGUGUGUGGCAGGGUGGAGAUCAGGAUUUCUGGAGCUGCUUAGCUGAGAGGUUUUGGUUAAGGGUCUCCCAGGAGGUUGCCAUGAAGGUGCAGGCUGGGGUCACAGGCACUGGAAGGCAUGGCUGGAGCAAGCAGACCAUUUCCAAGUGGCUCACUCUCAUAGCUGCCAAGUUGGUGAUUGCUGUUUGUAGAUACAUCCAGUUCCUUCCACAUCAACCCUGCCAUAGGCUGCUUGAGUAGUCUCAUGACAUGGCAGCUGGCUCACCCCAGAAUAAGGUAAGAAUGAUCUGAGAAAGUGGUGAAAGUGGCAAUGUGUUUUGUGAUCUGACCUCAGAAAUGACGUAUUGUCAUCUUCUAUUUGGUAGAGGAGAGCUGUUAUGUCUAGCUCACGCUCAAGGAAAUGACUUACUGCAAAGAACCACUCUUCCCCACGAGACUUCGAGAAGACCCGCUGUCACGGACUGAGUUGUGUCCUCUUAAAAUUCAGAUGUUGGAGUCCAAACCCCCAGUAACUCAGAGUGUGAACGUAUUUGAAGAGGUCUUUAAAGAGGUGAUGAAGGGAGAGAGACCCCAUGAGCUCGUCAAGCUCCUUCUGUGACUGAUCAGAGAUCCCACCGUGAGUCCAGCUCCUGGUCCCAUGCUCUGGAUAUAUCGGUCCCUGGCAGCGUGCAGUCUUCUUUCCACCAAUGACCCCUCGCGCUGCUUCCAGAAGCCAAGAAAGUGGGCUUUGUCCUUGGGGAUUUAGGAGGCGGAGCGGCGCCCCCUUGAGGCCACAUGGUGGAGGCAGCGAUGAGACCUGGAGUCUAAAAUUCAGACUGAAUCACAGGAAGAAGCUAUUUACACAAGUCAAACAUGGUCCAAUCUUGGCAAUUUCAUAAGGUUCCAAUCCUUAAGGGAUCAAAACCUGGCCAACUGCUUCCACCGAGAGGUGUGCCUUUCAAUGCCAGGCUUGGAGUGUCCCUCUUUAUUUAAAAAGGAGAGGAUUCCACAGCAGAGCUUCUCAAACUCUUCCACCCAAAUCCCCUCACCACAGAGGGACAGGAGUCCUGGGCAUGUAGCCUAAAGCAGCCAGGAGAAAAAAACCUUGACCUUAAUUUUUUUAAUGAUUUCACAUGAAUCAGUGGAAUGUGUUUAUGAUAAAAUCAUCUCCUCCUGAAAUACAUGUGUAAAACUGCUGCCCCAGUUAAACGCACUUAGUCUAACCAAGCCCUAGGAUUGGCCUCUCCAGCAUGAGAAGCAUUUCCAGCACUCCAGCUCCCCAGCUCCCACUCUGGGAUCCCACCUCAGACCCUCCCACUUCCUUGCACUCUGGCCUCUCGCUCUUGACCCUGCUCCCGCCACGCUCUUUCCUCAGAGUCCAUCAGUCCUGUCUUGUCUUCACCUUGGUCUCUGCCAAGUGUGGGUCCAAGUCAUAUAUUUGGGCUGUGAUCACAGGAACCCCAAGCCCCAGACCUCCCAAAGCACCCUAUGGAGAGACCUUACCCUCCUGGACAGACCCUCUCCCCCCAGCUAGACCUCAUCCUCUGGGUAGACCCAUCUCCCCAACCAGAACUCACCCUCCUGAGUAAACCCCAUCCCCCUAGCUAGACUUCAUCCUCCUGGACAGAUCCCAUCCCCCCAGCUAGACCUCACCCUCUUGGGUAGAUGCAUCUCCCCAACCAGAACUCUCCUGGGUAGACCCCUUCUACCCAGCUAGACCUGAUCCUCUGGACAGACCCCAUCAUCCCAGCUAGACUUCUCCCUCCUGGACUGUCCCCAUCCCCCCUCCAGCCAGACCUCACCCCUCUGGGUAGACCCCAUCCCCCCAACUAGACCUCACCCUCCUGGAUGGACUCUACCCUCCUGGAGAUACCUUCCCCUCCUGGGUACAUCCCACGUGGCUACACACUCCUUCCCCUGUCAGCUUUCUCCCCCAGGGUUCUGGGCAGCAGAGUCUGUGAUAAAGGAUACUAAGUGAUUCCCCAAUACUUCCCGUUUCCAGCCUCCAGUGGGCUCUCCCUGGGGCUAACGGUUCUUUUUGCUAUUUCUCCAGGCUUUGCCUGAUGACAAGUAUACUCUGAGAGUGUCCUAAUGAUACAGAUUUUGGACCCUAUCCCAGUUCUACUGAAUCCAAGUCUCUGGGGGAGGAGUUGGGGCUCUGCAUCUGGACACCUUCCUGCAGGGUCCCUCCUGGGAGGCAAGCCCGGGGAGCACCGCUGAGGCUCGCCUCAGUGCCCAUCCUAGACCUUCAGCAGCUAGCAGAGGAUGUCCCCACCAUCCCUCAGCCCACACUCCCACUGUCGCCCCAGCCAGGCUUGGCACUGCCUCCUUUCUCAGAAGAUUAAGACCAUCUGCUGUUUCCCAAGUUUCCCACCCUCCACCCUAAAAAUUUCUCCGUUUCCCAGUCUUUCCUCGUCUCUCAGAAAAUAAACAUCUUCCCAGGCUGCCUCCCCAGUGGGUCUGCACUCCUUGCUGUCUUCCCAGCACCUGCCCUUCCAGCCCGCCCUCUGUGUGUCCAGUGUUUCCCUCACCAAAGGACUCGCUUUGUUUUUCAAAUUGGAGGUUUUGUCUUCUCCCUAAAAACCAAAACAUCUCCCUGAGAAGUAACUCCCUCAAGCUACUGAUACGGAAGGGGGGCGGGGAAGUGCUGGGAAGGGAAGGGUGUGGUCCCUGGCUAGGGCUCCACCCCCGGGCCUGUGCCCACAGACCUAGGUGAGGACAGGCAUUUCUGUUUUCGUGCUUAAAUGUUGGAUUUCCCAAGACUACCCUGGCCUACCACACCCUCAUUCUGUGCCUGUAAAAAAACCUGAGAGCUUAGCAGGCACGCACACAAGCCUCUGGACGUCAAGAGGAACACACCGGUGUAAGAGCAGACUGAUAGUGGCCCACGGCAGGCUGGCAGGCCAUCGACAGGCAGAACCACUCAGUGCAGCUGGAGGACAGCCUGGCCACGGAGCGGUCCGACUUCAGAGGGGAAAACCACCUCCCCACUCCGUCUCCCUUCUGGCUCCCCCAUCUGAGAGCUACUUCCACUCAAUAAAACCUUGCACUCA